rnacentral:tRNA from 2 species
GGGCGUGUGGCGGAAUUGGUAUACGCGUACGUCUCAGAAGCGUAUGGAGUAAUCCUUGGGAGUUCGAGUCUCCCCACGCCCACCA